UACAGAGGGGGCAAGCGUUAUUCGGAAUUAUUGGGCGUAAAGGGCGCGUAGGCGGCCUUGCAAGUGGCGGGUGAAAUCCCUCGGCUUAACCGAGGAACUGCCUGCCAGACUGCAAGGCUCGAGACCGGGAGAGGUGAGUGGAAUUCCCAGUGUAGCGGUGAAAUGCGUAGAUAUCGGAAGGAACAUCAGUGGCGAAAGCGGCUUCCUGGACCAGUACCGACGUUCAGGCACGAAAGCGUGGGGAGCAAACAGG
rnacentral:rRNA from 1 species